AUUGAACGCUGGCGGCAGGCCUAACACAUGCAAGUCGAGCGAGCGGCGGACGGGUGAGUAAUGCCUAGGAAUCUGCCUGGUAGUGGGGGAUAACUGUCCGAAAGGGCAGCUAAUACCGCAUAUUAUUCGAGCGGCCGCUGUCGGAUUAGCUGGUUGGCGGGGUAAAGGCCCACCAAGGCGACGAUCAGUAGCGGGUCUGAGAGGAUGAUCCGUCACACUGGAACUGAGACACGGCCCAGACUCCUACGGGAGGCAGCAGUGGGGAAUUUUGGACAAUGGGCGCAAGCCUGAUCCAGCCAUGCCGCGUGUGUGAAGAAGGCCUUCGGGUUGUAAAGGACUUUUGUCAGGGAAGCGGUACCUGAAGAAUAAGCACCGGCUAACUACGUGCCAGCAGCCGCGGUAAUAC
rnacentral:rRNA from 1 species